ensembl:lncRNA
GUGAGUCGGUCAAGUUGCUUGCUUGAUUUUUGGGUCAAAUUAUUGACAUAGCCAAAAGUUUUGUUUGUACAUUUAAACUUUGAACAGUUUUUUUUUUUCUUCUUCUUUCUUCUAUUUUUGUUUCUUUUGAUACUUUUGGAUUUACACUGUAAAUAUAAUUUGCAUUAUUUUGGAAAAUCUUUGUUUUUCACAUUUUGGAAUAAACACCAAACCUUUUGACUUCAUCAGCACGUCACUUCAUUUUUUUUUUUUCACGCCUCCAUGGGCCGCUACAUCCAGAGCAGGGGUGCUGCUACUGCUUGAACACCUUGUAGCAGUUGGCACACCACUGUCUCUGUUACACGGCUAAUCAACCGGAAAUCUCGCCCUGAGGCUUAUUUCUACGUUGAAGAAAAAGGUGGAUAAGGUUGCCCGUGGGCAGCGCAAUACACGUGAUUUUGUUGACUAAGCUAAUAGAACUGGCAAAUGGAGAAACCUCGUUUUUAGUACACCGACCAGGUCCUCUUACCCUACCACUGUGACAUGGCCGCCGGUGGCACAUUGACGCCUGUAUCCAUCCCUGACGGAGCUAAGCCGGAUCAGUCGUGUCGUCGGCGCUCUCUCGCUCCUUCCUCCCGGAACAUAAUCACAGUCAGUCUGCAGCCUCAGAAAUCCCCC